UACAGAGGGUGCAAGCGUUAAUCGGAAUUACUGGGCGUAAAGCGUGCGCAGGCGGUUGUGCAAGCCAGGGGUGAAAUCCCCGGGCUUAACCUGGGAACUGCACUUGUGACUGCACAGCUGGAGUACGGCAGAGGGGGAUGGAAUUCCGCGUGUAGCAGUGAAAUGCGUAGAUAUGCGGAGGAACACCGAUGGCGAAGGCAGUCCCCUGGGCCUGUACUGACGCUCAUGCACGAAAGCGUGGGGAGCAAACAGG
rnacentral:rRNA from 1 species